UUCAUACUCCCUCCGUCCGAAAGUACUUGUCAUCAUAGUUCUAGAACUAAAAUAUGUCUAGAUGCAUCCCCUUUUAUCCAUUUUGAUGACAAGUAUUUCCGGACGGAGGGAGUACAUC
rfam:Triticum aestivum genome assembly, contig: Triticum_aestivum_CS42_TGACv1_scaffold_327829_4BS